rnacentral:lncRNA from 1 species
UGGAGUUUUGGGUAUAUGGCUCGUCUUUCACCUUUGCACAGCACACACUGUAGUCCUGUUAGUGAGUCUUGACCGCAUGGGUGAGACUUGGGAUGGUGGUCUACUAUGAUUGGGGUUGUGUGUCCAUUUGACUUGAUCUGGGACGAGUGUCACCUAAUCAUAAUGUCUUUCCCCACGUUUACUGUAUUGUGUCGAACUUUUACUAUCUUCGGG